rnacentral:rRNA from 1 species
UACGGAGGGAGCUAGCGUUGUUCGGAAUUACUGGGCGUAAAGCGCGCGUAGGCGGCUUUGUAAGUUAGAGGUGAAAGCCCGGGGCUCAACCCCGGAACAGCCUUUAAGACUGCAUCGCUAGAAUCCGGGAGAGGUGAGUGGAAUUCCGAGUGUAGAGGUGAAAUUCGUAGAUAUUCGGGAGAACACCAGUGGCGAAGGCGGCUCACUGGACCGGCAUUGACGCUGAGGUGCGAAAGCGUGGGGAGCAAACAGG